AAGUUUCCCAUUCUGAAUAAGGAUCCAUUCACCUAAAUAACAAUUUAUGGGAACCUAAAAGUUAUGAAGAGCAGGACAAUUUGAAGAGCUGAUAAUUUAGUUAAAAGAAAUUAUGCUUGAAAAGAUAGAAAUGAGUAAAUGGUAAGAA